rnacentral:rRNA from 1 species
GACGAACGCUGGCGGCGUGCCUAAUACAUGCAAGUCGAACGAGAGCGACUGGUGCUUGCACUGGUCAAUCUAGUGGCGAACGGGUGAGUAACACGUGGGUAACCUGCCCAUCAGAGGGGGAUAACAUCCGGAAACGGAUGCUAAAACCGCAUAGGUCUUCGAGCCGCAUGGCUUGAAGAGGAAAAGAGGCACAAGCUUCUGCUGAUGGAUGGACCCGCGGUGCAUUAGCUAGUUGGUGAGGUAACGGCUCACCAAGGCCGUGAUGCAUAGCCGACCUGAGAGGGUGAUCGGCCACAUUGGGACUGAGACACGGCCCAAACUCCUACGGGAGGCAGCAGUAGGGAAUCUUCCGCAAUGGACGCAAGUCUGACGGAGCAACGCCGCGUGAGUGAAGAAGGUUUUCGGAUCGUAAAACUCUGUUGUUAGAGAAGAACAAGUGCUAGAGUAACUGUUAGCGCCUUGACGGUAUCUAACCAGAAAGCCACGGCUAACUACGUGCCAGCAGCCGCGGUAAUACGUAGGUGGCAAGCGUUGUCCGGAUUUAUUGGGCGUAAAGCGAGCGCAGGCGGUUCCUUAAGUCUGAUGUGAAAGCCCCCGGCUCAACCGGGGAGGGUCAUUGGAAACUGGGGAACUUGAGUGCAGAAGAGGAGAGUGGAAUUCCAUGUGUAGCGGUGAAAUGCGUAGAUAUAUGGAGGAACACCAGUGGCGAAGGCGACUCUCUGGUCUGUAACUGACGCUGAGGCUCGAAAGCGUGGGUAGCAAACAGG